rnacentral:rRNA from 1 species
GUAGUCCUGGCCCUAAACGGUGUUCACUUGGUGUGCGGGGAGUCGACCCCCUGCGUGCCGAAGCUAACGCGAUAAGUGAACCGCCUGGGAAGUACGACCGCAAGGUUAAAACUCAAAGAAAUUGACGGGGGCCCGCACAAGCGGUGGAGCAUGUGGCUUAAUUCGAUGCAACGCGAAGAACCUUACCUGGCCUUGACAUGCUGGUAGUAGAAGCCCGAAAGGGUGACGACUCCUCGCAAGAGGAGAGCCAGCACAGGUGCUGCAUGGUUGUCGUCAGCUCGUGUCGUGAGAUGUUGGCUUAAGUGCCGCAACGAGCGCAACCCCUGUGUUUAGUUGCCUGCGAAAGCGGGAUCUCUAAACAGACUGCCUCGCUUUAAACGAGGA